UACGUAGGGGGCAAGCGUUGUCCGGAAUCAUUGGGCGUAAAGAGCGCGUAGGCGGUCCGGUAAGUCCGCUGUGAAAGUCGGGGGCUCAACCCUCGAAUGCCGGUGGAUACUGUCGGGCUAGAGUCCGGAAGAGGCGAGUGGAAUUCCUGGUGUAGCGGUGAAAUGCGCAGAUAUCAGGAGGAACACCGGUGGCGAAGGCGCUCAUCUGGCCCAAUACUGACGCUGAAGCGCGAAAGCUAGGGGAGCAAACGGG
rnacentral:rRNA from 1 species